GCAGCACGACUCCUGUUCCUCCAACCUCUCACGCCGACUUCCGUUCAUAUUUCAUCGGAAUCUCUAUCCUCUUUCUCACGGUACCAGUUCAAUGGAGUAGGUACCAGUUCAAUGAAGUAUCUCGCAUACGUGAUGAAUUAAGCACUUCUUAAAGGUUAAGGUAGAUAGUAAGUUGUGGACUGAAUGGGGUGCUAGAAUGACCGUGGAGAAUCAUGUGUAGUCUAAUGGUUUGUAAUUAUUAUACUUGUACACCUAGAAGCUCUGGGAUUAUGUUAUUUAUUUUACGCUACUGCAUACUUUGCUUAUAUGGUUUAAAAUGACAAUGAUGCAAGAAAUUCCUAAACUAGAA